UAAACAAGAGUUGAACUUUUAUCAAAAAAAAAAAUAAUCCCUUUUUUUAUUUAUUGAAAAAAUAUUUAAUUUAAAUCGAUUUGCAUACAGAAUAGGUUGUGUUGCACUAAUUAAAUGAGUGCGGCCGCAUAAUAAAUUCCUGCCACAGAACGCGUCGUCAUAAUGAGGUGGGUCAGCGUGGCCGCGCCGCAUGCGGUUGUCCUCUUGCGCGCGCACAUGGGCCUCCGGGGACCACGUGGCCCGCACGCCUUGCGUUACCAUACCGAGGGACGGAUACACGUGUCUCCAUAGCCUCUUCGCGCGGCACGGGCCCCGCGCCGUCCUGCAGUAUGUAUUUAUUUCUUCUUUUUUUUUCCAAUUUAUUAUACAGAACAGACCAGGCCGGGCCACCGAAGUCAGACUAGGCCGGGCCGCAGGCCGAACCGGCCAGGUCCAUUUGACGCACUUCAAAGUAUCACUCGAUCAAAUUCGAUCGGCUUCCUCCAUCUCACCGACGGCAUUUGCAGUCGCCAUCGCCGUCGCGGCCUCCCACCCCGGCCGCAUCCCUCCCCACCCAGCGCUCCCCCAUGGAUUUCUUCCAUCCCUGCCGCCGCCACUUUCUUUCUCUUCCACCACCGAUUUCGGACUAGAAACCUACUUUUCGUCAAACACUUUGAAAUCCUCAAGCAGCAGUUGACCUCCCAAGUCUCUCCUCUUUCUGUUUGACAUGAAGGUGGGGCUAAGCUCGCUGACGCCGUCGGUGUCGUUCUCCCUCGAUUUGCGGGAUGCGGAUCUCCGCCUUUUCAAGGCUUCGCCAUGAGAGAUAGGGUGGAGAGGAAAAAUCAAGUGGUCAUUCUCAAGUGAAGUUGUUUCUUGAACUCACAACCUCUAAAAUUCGAUGAACUUGAACAGUCAAGUCCAGUCUCGGUUUUAGAAACUUUAUCUGAAGAUGAAACUUAUAGCUCCAGUUGCUUUGAAAGAUAAGUGCAAAGCUUAAAGGUAAGCCUACAAAAUUAUUGCAGAUGUUAGCUUCUCCUUGGUUUACUAAAUUUUCAUAUUUGCUUAUUUGGUUUUGCAAAACUGUAGAACUUUGAUCUCAACUUCAAUGCCUAAAAAUAGAAUCAGCAGGGACAUAUGCAGACGACAGUGAGGUUCUCAUGCCGAGACGAUGAAGAUUGUGCAGGUAGCGAUUCCAUGCUUCUGCCUUAGGGCAUUUACUUGAAGGAUUCAGAGACUUCACGAACCUAAUUGAUAUACCCGUGGAGUUGGGUAUUCAAUGCAUCAUGGUCAAGAUCAACUAAAAAUUUUGUUCGAUCUUAUAAGUUGAUGUUUAAAACUGCCAAUGCCGGUACCAAGUUCGGAUGAAAGAGAUUGAGGCCAAUGUUCUAUUUAAGUUGAGAUUUAGCACCCGCACCCACAGUUAAUAUCAAGUGAUGGGGUCGGUCCAUAAGGAUUUUGCACUCAAAACUGUGGUCAUCGUCGGUCUUCGGUGGGUGUGUUCUCGGACAAGGAGUUGGUAUGCAAAUAUAUUAAUUUUGUAAAAUAAUGAUCGAUCACUUAAUUGUUCAAGUUGCUCAUUUAGAUAACUAAGUUAGCCCAUGGGGUUAUGGUGCAACGACGGGACAUUUAGGUUGUCAUUUAGAUAUUCACGGUUCGAGCUUCAGUUAUAAUGAAAUUGUAAAAAAAAAAAUUUCAAAUGAGGCACGCAAUUAAAGGAUGUUGGGCUCUUGGAUUGUC